rnacentral:rRNA from 1 species
CAGCAGCCGCGGGAACACGAAGGGUGCAAGCGUUAAUCGGAAUUACUGGGCGUAAAGCGUGCGUGGGCGGUUUGUUAAGUCUGCUGUGAAAUCCCCGGGCUCAACCUGGGAAUGGCAGUGGAUACUGGCAAGCUAGAGUGUGUCAGAGGAUGGUGGAAUUCCCGGUGUAGCGGUGAAAUGCGUAGAGAUCGGGAGGAACAUCAGUGGCGAAGGCGGCCAUCUGGGACAACACUGACGCUGAGGCACGAAAGCGUGGGGAGCAAACAGGAUUAGAUACCCCAGUAGUCCCUGUCUCUUAUAC